UUCCAGACUCCUACGGGAGGCAGCAGUGGGGAAUCUUCCGCAAUGGGCGAAAGCCUGACGGAGCAACGCCGCGUGAUCGAAUGAAGGCCUUCGGGUUGUAAAUAUCUGUUGACAGGGACGAAUAAGCAAUGCGAAUAGUUUUGUGUAUGACGGUACCUGUUUAGAAAGCUCCGGCUAACUACGUGCCAGCAGCCGCGGUAAUACGUAGGGUGCAAGCGUUGUCCGGAAUUACUGGGUGUAAAGGGAGCGCAGGCGGAUUGACAAGUUGGGAGUGAAAACUACGGGCUCAACCCGUAACCUGCUUUCAAAACUGUCAGUCUUGAGUGGUGUAGAGGUAGGCGGAAUUCCCGGUGUAGCGGUGGAAUGCGUAGAUAUCGGGAGGAACACCAGUGGCGAAGGCGGCCUACUGGGCACUAACUGACGCUGAGGCUCGAAAGCAUGGGUAGCAAACAGGAUUAGAUACCCGAGUACG
rnacentral:rRNA from 1 species